rnacentral:rRNA from 1 species
CGUAAGAUGACUGUAGGUGAAAGCUUACAUCUCUUCGGAGCAUUUUACGAGGUGCUGCAUGGUUGUCGUCAGCUCGUGCCGUGAGGUGUCGGGUUAAGUCCCAUAACGAGCGCAACCCUACCUUUAGUUGCCAUCAGGUAAUGCUGGGGACUCUAAAGGAACUGCCUACGCAAGUAGUGAGGAAGCGGGGAUGACGUCAAAUCAGCACGGCCCUUACGUCCAGGGCUACACACGUGCUACAAUGGCCGAUACAGAGGGCAGCUACCUGGUGACAGGAUGCAAAUCUCCAAAGUCGGUCUCAGUUCGGAUCGGAGUCUGCAACCCGACUCCGUGAAGUUGGAUUCGCUAGUAAUCGCGCAUCAGCCAUGGCGCGGCGAAUACGUUCCCGGGCCUU